rnacentral:lncRNA from 1 species
CUUGAAUAUUAUUAUAGAUAGAGAUAAACUGUAAACAGCAAUAAUGUUCAGCAAAGUAAGAUCUACAAAUAAGUCACAUGACCAAAAUGGUCAGUUGACCACUUUAGGAGUUAUUGCCCUUUAUAGUCAAUUUUUAACCAUUUUUCGUAAAUCUUAGUAAUCUUUUAGAAAAAUCUUCUCCUCUGAAACUACUGGGCCAAAUUUAACCAAACUUGGCCAUAAUCAUCAUUAGGGUAUCUUAUUUAAAAAAUGUGUCUGGUGCCCCGCCCAACCAACCAAGAUGGCCGCCAUGGCUAAAAAUAGAACAUAGGGGUAAAAUGCAGUUUUUGGCUUAUAACUCAAAAACCAAAGCAUUUAGAGCAAAUCUGACAGGGUAAAAUUGUUCAUCAGGUUAAGAUCUAUCUGCCCUGAAAUUUUCAGAUGAAUCGGACAUUCCGUUGUUGG